UUCUUUUUGAUAUGAUUAUAAGUAAGACCUGCCCAGUGAUAAUAUAAACGGCUUUUAAUGUAGCGUAAUAAUUUGUUUUUUAAAUGAAGUCUGGAUGAAUGGUUACACAUUGAGCAACUAUAUUUUUGGUAUAUUAAGAAUUUGUAUUUUAAAAUAAAAAUAUUUAAAUAUUGUUAAGGGACGAUAAGACCCUAAAAGCUUAAAUUUUAAUAUAUUAUUAAAUUUGUUUAUUAAUAAUAAUUAUAUUUAAAAUUAUUAUUUGGGGUGAAUGUUUUAUUAUAUUUGAUAUUAUACAGAACUUAAGUAAAGGUAAAAUGAUCCUUUAUAUAAGGAUAAUUUGUGAUAGUUACUUUAGGGAUAACAGCACGAUUAUUUUGGUAAGAUCUUAUUUAUGAGAUUAGUUGUGACCUCGAUGUUGAAUUAAAAUUUCUUUUUGGUGUAGAUGCUAAGUGAGUGGGUUUGUUCAACCUUUGAAAUUUU
rnacentral:rRNA from 1 species